ensembl:lncRNA
GUGCAGCUUCUGCAGUAAUGCAGUCGAUGUAUCGGUCUGUCGUGGUGAAGAAAGAGCUGAGCCGCAAGGCGAAGCUCUCGAUUUACCAGUCAAUCUACGUUCCUACUCUCACCUAUGGUCAUGAGCUUUGGGUCAUGACCGAAAGGACAAGAUCCCGGAUACAGGCGCCCGAAAUGAGCUUUCUCCGCAGGGUGGCCGGGCGAUCCCUUAGAGAUAGGGUGAGAAGCUCGGUCACCCGGGAGGAGCUCAGAGUAGAGCCGCUGCUCCUCCACAUCGAGAGGGGUCAGCUGAGGUGGCUUGGGCAUCUUUUUCGGAUGCCUCCGGAACGCCUUCCUGGGAAGGUGUUCCGGUCCCGUCCCACCGGGAAGAGACCCCGGGGAAGACCUAGGACACGCUGGAGGGACUAUGUCUCCCGGCUGGCCUGGGAACGCCUCGGUGUCCCCCCGGAAGAGCUAGAGGAAGUGUCUGGGGAGAGGGAAGUCUGGGCAUCCCUGCUUAGACUGCUGCCCCCGCGACCCGGCCCCGGAUAAGCGGAAGAAGAUGGAUGGAUGGAUGGGCACAUUUGUCCUACUUAUAAACAUAGAAUAGCAGGUAAAGCACUAGGGACGGAAAGCAAAUCAUAUUUCCAUGCAUGUCUUGCUGAGGCUAUAUACUACCAAAAUACACAGCUGUCAAUCAAAUUUGAAAGCUUUAGUAACUGCAGUAGUUACACAUUUUUGAUGACAUCACUUAAAGCACAUCUUCGAUCGCAUUUACAGAUGAAGGCAAGAGAGCUAGCCUACAUUCCCAACAGCAGAUGAAGGCAAGAGAGCUCGCCUACAUUCCCAUCAUUAAUUAGUGAAGUACAGUAUUGGGAAGCAUCUUACCCAAACUAUUUUUGGGGGGCAAAUAAUUCUUGCUGAGAGACACAGCCCCUGUGUCACCGGGUCUGUAUACAUGAUUAAAGGAAUAAAACAUAAAAGGCAACAAUACAUAAUAUAAUACAAUAGUUCAUAUAAUACAUAGAGGGACAGACUAAAAUGGAAAACACUUCAGACAACAACAAUUAUGUAAAAUCAAAGUAAUACAAUAAGAAGUUAAGAGAAAUUGAAUAAAACCAACAACAGAUUAAAACAGUAAGAGGAUGUUAAAAAUAAGUGGACUUGACAAAAACAAAGGGAUAACCUCAGACUGAACUAAAAGCAAGAUCAUUUGGUGGGUCUUUAAAUUUGAUUUAAAUUUGCAAUGGUGGAAUGGGACUUAAUGUGGGAUGGGAGACUAUUCCAGAGCAUGGGCGGAGCAACAGACAAAACUAUGCUACCCCAUGCUUCCUGGAGAGCGGGUUCUUCCUUCUUCCAAAUAUACCAAAUAGUUUAUUUUGAAAGACCAAACAUCUUGCCCAUGUCUCUGAUCUGAUGUUUUAAUCCUUAAUAUAAUUGAUGCAACUGUUCCUUACUCUUAUUUAUUCUAUUUCCAUUACGUUCAUGUUUCCAUUACGUUCAUGUACUUUGAAAAUGGUGCAUAAAAGAACAAAUUGGUGCAUAGAAAUUCACCAGAAUGCAGGGAAUUAAGCAUCUGACACCCUCAUUGGGGAGAACCCCGCAGACCCCGCUUCAUUUGUGUCCCCUGGGUUUGGGGCUGCUGGCAAGGUGUCCCUUAUUUUUCCACACUGAAGGAGGCAACCCUAAUCUAUCUCCACGGCACGACUGACUAGAUAACGAUAUGUUGUUGACUUGUACAUCUAGCUAGUGUUAGUGGUUAUACAAUUGUGCUCAGAAGUUUGCAUACCUUGGCAGAUAUUGUGCAAUUGGCAUUGAUUUAGAAAAUGACUGAUCAUGCAAAAAAAAAUCUCUUUUAUUUAGGGAUAGUGAUCAUAUGAAGCCAUUUAUUAUCACAGUUGUUUGGCUCCUUUUUAAAUCACAAUGAUAAGAAAAAUCCCCCAAAUGGCCCUGAUUGACAGUUGACAUACCCUUGAAUGUUUGGCCUUGUUACAGACACACACAGGUUAAAAUGACAAUUAAAGGUUAAUUUCCCACACUUGUGGCUUUUUCAAUUUAAAUUAGUGUCAAAAAAGGUCCUGGUGUGGCCAUCACAGUCUCCUGACCUUAAAAUCAUCGAGCCACUCUGGGGAGAUCUCAAAUGUGCGGUUCAUGCAGGACGACCAAAGACUUUGAAUGACCUGGAGGCAUUUUGCCAAGAAAAAUGGGCAGCCAUACUGCCUGUAAGAAUUCGGGGUAUCAUAGACAACUAUUACAAAAGACUGCACACUGUCAUUAAUGCACAUUAAGAACUAAGGGUAUGCAGACUUUUGAACAGGGGUCAUUCCAUUUUGUUCUUUAUUGCCAUGUUUUGUUUUAUGAUUGUGCCAUUGUUAUAACCUACAGUUGAAUAUGAAUCCCAUAAGAAAUAAAAUAAAUGUGUUUUGCCUGUUCACUUGCCAUGUUUUCUUUAAAAAUGUUACACAGUUUCUCACAAAAGUGAGUGCCUCCCUCACAUUUUUUGCAAAUAUUUGAUUAUCUUUUCAUGUGACAACACUGAAGAAAUGACCCUUUGCUACAAUGUAAAGUAGUGAGUGUACAGCUUGUAUAACAGUGUAAAUUUGCUGUCCCCUCAAAAUAACUCAACACACAGCCAUUAAUGUCUAAACCGCUGGCAACAAAAGUGAGUACUCCCCUAAGUGAAAAUGUCCAAAUCUGGUAAGGAUGCCCCCAGGACGUCUCCCUAGGGAGGUGUUCCAGGCACGUCCAGCUGGGAGGAGACCUCGGGGUAGGCCCAGGACUAGGAGGAGUGAUUAUAUUUUGACACUGGCCUGGGAACGCCUCGGGAUCCCCCAGUCAGAGCUGGCAAAUGUGGCUCAGGAAAGGGACGUUUGGGGUCCCCUGCUGCAGCUGCUGUCUCCGCAACCCGAUACCGGCAACAAUGCCCAGGGGUCAGAAAAGGGCAGCGCAAAUUGUUUUAGCGGUUCCCAGGAUGAACGGUUGGAUGUCAGUCAGGGCUGCCUUGUCUCGGUGUGCUCUCGUAACUCCUUGUGGUGGGUUGGGAAUCUCUAAGCUUAAUUGUGGCCUGGAGAAUGUUUGACUCCAGCACCUGUCAACAAGCAAAAAUCUGGAUGAGCGAGCAGUGUUGACUUUCCCAAACCUGCUGUGAAGCAAUGAAAAAGGGCCAUACACACAAUUUGGAAAUUGAAAGGGUACAAAAAUAGGUUAAUCUAUUGUGUAAGGGAUUUUAAAACAAAAUUAUCCAUACGCAGCAAAGCAUCUUAAAAAUGAUCACAACCAUGCCUUUAAUAUGGUUCAGUGUUAGUCAAACGUAACAUUACAAUACGUUCACUUUUGAUUAAUCUGUCCAUAGAACGUCCUUCCUGCAUGUCUUGACAAGUACUUUCAGGUGUAUUUAGGCAAACAUCAGUUGACAAUGGGUCCCAUAAUGUCUGGCAAAAAAAACAAACAUUGUGUAAGACCCAUUUUGGUAUUUUACGCUGUCUAGUUGUUUAUUUUGGGCUGUCACUAUUCACCACUAGAGGGCAGUGUCAUUGGGGUUAAGGGUUCGAUCAGGAGAGGGCAAACGUUU